rnacentral:misc_RNA from 1 species
CUGUGAGCCAAAGAAUAAAUCAGAAUUUUACAAUGACAUGUAAAGUUAUCACUUUCGACUUCACAGACUCAACCAAGGGCGCAACGUAUUCUAGUUAAAUUAAGGUGUUAUGAAUUUUAUUUAUUUUUCUAGGUUGAUUAUAUUCUGCUUGCUAAGUUUUAUACAUCUACUAAUUCUUGUGAUAAAGUUUUAGCUUUUAACAGCUCUGUGGUUCUUUUAAAUCAUGAUACGUUUUGUAUGGGCUACAUGUAUAUGUUUGGUGCCUAUCCCACAUUAUUGAUUAGGAGCUGGAUAUCUUUUAGUUUGAGAUGGUUUGCUAAUAUGUUCAAUUGUCCCUUUGUACGGCUCUUUAGUUCUGAUUCUACUCCAACUGUACACGUUUCAGUCAUGUUUGGUUUGUUCUAGAAAUGAAAAUGAAAUGUAAUUUAUGAAAUAAAAUUUUGUUUCCUAUUUAGUUAUUUUGGAAAUAAACUGGGAAUAGUAUUUUAAUUUUCAAAUCUUGACAUUAGUUUUCAAUACAAAAAUAUAAAUAAUAUCUACAUUAAGC